CGGGGUGUAGCGCAGCUUGGUAGCGCAUCCGCUUUGGGAGCGGAAGGCCGCAGGUUCAAAUCCUGUCACCCCGACCC
rnacentral:tRNA from 4 species